rnacentral:rRNA from 1 species
GAUGAACGCUAGCUACAGGCUUAACACAUGCAAGUCGAGGGACCGGCGCACGGGUGAGUAACACGUAUCCAACCUGCGCUUUACUCGUGGAUAGCCUUUCGAAAGAAAGAUUAAUACCCGAUAUACAGGAUGGGGAUGGGUUGCAUUAGGUUGUUGGUAAGGUAACGGCUAACAAAGCCUUCGAUGGAGAGGGGUUGUGAGAGGAAGGUCCACUGCAACUGAACGAAGGCACGGUCCAAACUCCGACGGAAGGCAGCAGUAGGGAGUAUUGGUGAAUGAGCGCUGGCCUGAACAUGCCGAGUAUCGGGAAGGGGGAAGGCGUAGGAGUCGUAAACUUCUUUUAUAUAAGAAUAUGUAUUAUAUGAAUAAGCAUCGGCUAACUCCGUGCCAGCAGCCGCGGUAAUUC